UGUCGUCAGCUCGUGUUGUGAAAUGUUGGGUUAAGUCCCGCAACGAGCGCAACCCUUAUCCUUUGUUGCCAGCGGUCCGGCCGGGAACUCAAAGGAGACUGCCAGUGAUAAACUGGAGGAAGGUGGGGAUGACGUCAAGUCAUCAUGGCCCUUACGACCAGGGCUACACACGUGCUACAAUGGCGCAUACAAAGAGAAGCGACCUCGCGAGAGCAAGCGGACCUCAUAAAGUGCGUCGUAGUCCGGAUUGGAGUCUGCAACUCGACUCCAUGAAGUCGGAAUCGCUAGUAAUCGUGGAUCAGAAUGCCACGGUGAAUACGUUCCCGGGCCUUGUACACACCGCCCGUCACACCAUGGGAGUGGGUUGCAAAAGAAGUAGGUAGCUUAACCUUCGGGAGGGCGCUUACCACUUUGUGAUUCAUGACUGGGGUGAAGUCGUAACAAGGUAAC
rnacentral:rRNA from 2 species